GGUUUUCAAUAAAGCAGACCAUAUAUAUAUAUCACUGGAAGGAAAAGCAAAUUUACUUCUAGAAAGCACAACCUGUGUUUAGAUAUAUUUCCUUAGUGUGUCCUAUUUAUUUGACUUACAGAACCUCUCUCCAUAUAUCCUGGACAAAUUUCAGGAACUCUAUGUAAACGGACAUACUUAUAGGGCUUACUUCUUUCUUUCUCACAGCCUAGAACUUGACAUAAGAGUUCAAGGGGAUUCUUGAUAUAUGCACUGCUUUUAAGGUGCCCGGAAAAUCCAGAGCCCCUCUGUACUCGUGAGAUCUUGCACCGUAAAUUAUUUCCCAAAAAACUGUCUGAUGACAAGAAAUGACCAAUUCCUCGAUUCUCCGGUAAAAUGCACAUAGUCUGAUGGAAACUUUCUUUACAGUGUUAUCUUUCCUUUUGACCUUCAUGGGAAUGAAGAUUCUGAAAGAUGGUGGUGCAGAGCGGAGAUGAGAGCUCAGUGUACUGGGUUGCUAUGGGUGAUGACGAGGAAAGAUUCUCUGAAAGUGAAAAUGAAGUUUGCAUCAACACUAAAUAACCCCUCUAAACAUCUGAGGCUGAAUGGGGUAAGAAGAGGAAUACAUUCCAUUCUUAUUAAAAAACAUCAAGUGAUUGUUUUCUGUAUCAAAUGCGGAAUUCCGGUUUUAUCAAACACGUCUCGGAGAAACACCCCAGCCUCCAAAGCAGACAGCAGUUGUAAACAUCUCCUCUUCCUGCUGAGAAGCUGCGGAAUUCCAGAGCCCUGACCUGCGAAAUACCAGUUCUCUGCUCCCUCCCCAUGGAACGGAAGCUAAGCCCUGAGGGAGGGCAUUUGUGUGUUUAGACCCUCUGCGUGAUGCCUAGUGCUGGACCAGGAGGGAGCUCAACCCACAAACCGCUAGCAAAGGGGAUGGAAAAAGACAGGACCCAGCAGAGGGGAACACAAUUGCUCACUAGCCCAGAAUCUGGAACUUGGAAGCCAAAUUAUGGUUAGCCACAUGGCUUUAUUAUUGACCUUCUUUGGCACGUAGUGCUUUAUGGGUACACUGUAUCUUCGCUUUUUCUGACCAGUCUCCAACUUCCCACCAACACUGCUUAUACCAAAAGAUGGCAAAUGGCACGUAUCCUGGCAUUUUUCUAUGGCUUAAGGCACAGUCAAGACUCUUGAUGAUGUAAAAGAAAAACAGAUGACUGCGUCUAUUUCCUGCCUGAUUACUACUACUUUAAAGGAAUGCCGAGGUUUUGUUUGUAAAAAUACACUGAUGAUUAUGUAACCAGUGAGACCUACAUUUAUUUCUACCUUAUUUUGUUUAGGGCAGGCUCAAUUAAACUUCACGGCCCUCAUAUAAUCUUCUUUAAUCUUUGUGGUUUAUUGGACAAUCUGGUGAACUUGUAUCACAUCCUGAGGUUGGGUGUGCAUUUCAAGGCAUCAGGGAAUGAUGAGUUCAGUUGUGAGGUGAAGGAGGCCAUAUGGGAUAGGUUUUCCAUCUUAAAUUAGCAUACAUCAGAGGCCUGGUGGGGGGGGGGGGGGAGUCCAUGGCAUCAGGUGACCAGAAUGAGGGGCCAUAGCAGUCUGUGACUCACGUGACAGCUGGGGAGGAAAUGGAACACUUUUCCCAAAUCCAACUGAGAUUGUUAAUGCCCAGACUGGGAAAGAGUGGUGCCACCUUUCUGUAGCAACAAGCCGGGCAAACCAGGGGUUUCUGGAGAAGCUUCUGUUUGCAUGGCUAAAUAAUAAAAGGUGGUCUUGAUAGGUCUACUCUUAAAUUGUGCGAUGGACCAUUAUCAGAGCUCUGCUAGCUGAUCAGACAUUUGACCCACUAAAAUGUAGUCUUGGGGUUUAUUUUGAUCAGGUCCGUGGGCAUAGGGGUGUGGGACAAAAGAAUUUGUCAGUCAAUUCUUCUGCAAUAUGCAUUCAUUUCUCCUCUUAACAUCAGCAGAAGCUAUUAUUAGGGAUUGAAUGUGCUUCACCCCCAUGUUGAAGCCCUAUUUCCCAAUGUGAUGGUAUUUGGAUGUAGGGCCUUUAGGAGGUCACCCGAUUUAGGUGGGGUCAUGAGGGUGGGGCCCCCGAGAUGGGAUUAGUGCCCUUGUGAGAGGAAGAGCCCAGAGCUUGCCCUCUACCAUAUGAGGACACAGUGAGAAGGCAAUCACCCAUAAGCCAGAAAGAGAGCUCUCACCACACCGAAUCUCCUAGAAUGGUGAUCUUGGACUUCUCAGCUUCCAGAAUUAUGAGAAAUAAAUGUCUAUUGUUUAAGCUGUCCAAUCUAUGGUGUUUUGUGGUAGCAGCCCAUGCUAAGACAAGCUCUUUGUAUUCGUUGAAUAGAAAACUGCUCAUACUCAACUCUAAAUGUACCAACCUCUCUUCUCCAUAUUUACUUAAUAUUUCCAGUAUUUAAUUAGUAUCUUGUAGUGUAUAAAGUUGGCCUUUGAACAUCAUGGGUUUGAACCACAUGAGUCCACUUGUGAAUUUUUUCUGAUAAAUACAGUUCCAUACUAUAAAUGUAUUUUAUGUUUUUCUUAACAGCACUUUCUUUUCUCUAGCUUGCUUGAUUAUAAGAAUACAGUAUAUAGUACAUAUAGUGUAUGAAAUAUAUGUCAAUUGACUGUUUAUGUUAUUGAUAAGGCUUCCGGUCAACAGCAGGCUAUUAGUAGUUAAGGUUUGGGGGAGUCAAAAGUUAUGCUUUUCAACCAACGGGGGGUAGUCAGUACCCCUAAACUUUACACUGUUCAGAGGUCAACUGUAUUCUUUUAUUUGUCCCAAUAUCCUUUUCCACCCCACUGCCCACCUUUUUCACUUUUACAUCAUUGCCUUACUAAAUGCUACUCCACGUAUGUCAAGACUCAACUCAAGUGUCCCCUCUUCCAUGGAGCCGUCCCUGCCCUCCUCUCCUUCACCCCCAGUCUGGAUUCUAUGCACUGCCUAUGGUAGCUCCUGCCAAAGCCUCUAUAUUUUUGCUUUUUACUUUUUACUCAGUCCCUCACUAGACUGAAUUUCUCAUCAAAGGCAAGGGUGUGUGCUGAGUUCAACAGCGAACCUGGAGUGGAAGCCGUAGGCACUUUAUUGAGUGAAAUAUGUUUUUCAGAGAAUCCUUCUGAAUAGAGAUCUUAACUUGUCAGUGUAAAGUAGUGUUUGCAGGGAAGGAUGGGGGAAGACAUGCUGGCAAACACUAGGGAGCAGCCGGGGGUUUAGUGUGGACUUGCAAAUCAGAACAGGACCCCCAAACCCUGCUGGAACUGUUGAAGACAAACACAGGAAAGUAACAGAAGGGUUUGGAAUGGAACCGGGUUGUAGAAACUUAGAAUUCAGGGUCUCAGGAGGAGAGGAAGUUCCAUGUGAAAGGUCAGAGACUGUAGAAUUUUGUUCGUUUGAAUGGCAACUCUGUUUUGGGUUGAAUUGUGUCCUCUCAAAAGAUGUUGACAUUCUAA
rnacentral:lncRNA from 1 species